rnacentral:lncRNA from 1 species
CAUUUCUACUCAGACGAAAAGUCAGUUAUCUACUAUUUCUGCCCAUAAUACUAACAUUGUUAGCACUGCUUUCUUUGCCUGCAUGUUCAAGUCUAUAGUUGACAGCUAUUGCCUCUAACUGUGAUCCUUACCUCUUUGGUUUUCUGGAUCUCAGCUCCAAUCCCCUUUCUUUGCAGUUUGAUUUGUGCUCACUGGUAGAUGUGCUACUGUAAAAUGCAAAAGACUGCCAUCCUGUCACCACUUAGACCUCGGCAGCUGAGAAACAGGUGGUUGAGGAGGAAAUACGAAGAACAUUUCUUGGAGAUUUUAAAAGAAAAAAGAAUGUUUUUUUUCAACUCCAUGUAGAACAAAAACUGCUACAAUUUUGCAUAAUUUAAAAUUUCUAUGGCCUAAUUGAGUUAUCUCAAUUAAAAACACAAUGAGAAAAUUUCAAUAGAAAAAUUGCCAGAGAAGAAAUAAUUAAAAUAAUUACUAUGUUUAAGAGGAAAUUUUCUGAACUGAGCAUAUUGUUCACAUUAAAAAUCUCAAAUCAUUAUAAUCUACAGUAAUCAUUUCCUUCACAUUGCAAAUACACAAUAACUACUCUGUUCCUAAAUUGGAUGUGGCCUCUUUUGGUAAAGGAAUGGUAGCUCCCCCAAACAGGACAGCUUGAAUGUACUGAUGCCAAGCAUGCCAUGGUAAUUGUUCAGCUGCCCCCAGUUAUUAUAUUUGAUUACAAACCCUACCAAAGAUGGCAAGAAUUUUCUCCCCUGGAGGUAGGAACUUUCAAAGGAUUCAGGAGCUUGGCCUUAUAUCAAAGAGUAUGAUUGGUUACUAAAUACACAGUUGUUAUAUAUUUUGAUAUUAUCACCUCUAUUAGGAAAUUUACAUAGAAUCACAUAAGCAUUUUGUUUCAUAACUUGCUCUAAUUUUCAUUCAUUUGUGUCCUAGGAAAGAAAAAGGACAUUGUGCAUUUAUGAUAAUAUCACAUCUAGUACUACACUGGGCAUAGCAACAUGAGCCAAGGGAGAGGUUUAAAAAAUCUCAGCCAUAAAAAAGAACAACGUAAUGCCAUUUGCAGCAACAUGGAUGGAACUAGAGACUCUCAUACUGAGUGAAAUAAGUAAGAAAGAGAAAGACAAAUACCGUAUGAUAUCACUUAUAACUGGAAUGUAAUAUAUAGCACGAACAAAUGUUUUCACAGAAAAGAAAAUCAUAGACUUGGAGAAUAGACUUGUGGCUGCCCAGGAGGAGAGGGAGGGAGUGGGAGGGAUCAGGAGCUUGGGGUUAGCGGAUGCAAACUAUUGCUCUUGGAAUGGAUUUGCAAUGAGAUCCUGCUGUGUAGCAUUGAGGACUAUGUCUAGAUACUUACAUCGCAACACAACAAUGGGAGGAAAAAGUAUGUAUACAUGUAUGUGUGACUUGGCCUCCAUGCUGUACAGUGGGAAAAAAUUAAUAAAUAAUACUGUAAGGAUGAUAUAGGGGGUCUACAAAGGUAGGAAAUGAGGACAGAUAGGCAAGUUUGGUGCUAAGUCUAUGAUGGCCACAAAAAGAGAUGGGACAAGGCACAGAAAGGCAAAAAGAAUGUAAAUCUGCAAAGGUCAUAAGCAAAGAACAAGUGAGUCUUUAAGAGCUAUAUCCUUUAAAGAGGUCACAAUACCUGAUUUUAGGGCAAAUAUAUCCUCAGUCCUGUGGUGAUAUAGUCAUGUAAAAACUAACAGGUGCAAGAUAUAAUGAGAGGAUAUGCACUGCAGUGAAGCUUACAAUGAAAAGAAAGCACUAGUUCCUCUAAAGAUCUUUUAUAUAGGUGAAAUUUUCCUUUUCCCUUUUUUGGGGGGUGGGGGAAAAUCCCUACUUAUUAUUUCCCAAUGUUUUGGCAUUGAGCAACAGCAGUACAAGAUAUAUUGACCUUGAAGUCUCUAAGUAGAGCAAAGAAGCCCCAGUGUAUAUUAUUUUCCCUCAUCGUGAGAGAAAAAUAAUCACUGCAUUUGUUGAGCACUGUUUUGGUUAUCAAUUACUAUGUAAUAAAUUACCCCAAACUUAAAAUCAUAGUGGCUUACCUUAAAACUUUGUGGCUUAAGAAAACCAUUAUCUCUCGAAUUGACCUGGCACACUUGAGUGGGGGAUUCUUCUCUUCCAUGUAGAGUUGACUAGGGCUGCAGUUCUCUGGAGGUUUGACUGGCCUGCAGUAUUCAAGAUAGCUCACUCCCAUGGUGCUUGGUACUGCCUAUUAGCUGAGAUGGGACUGUCAAACCAAGUACCUUGGGUUUCCUCCACAUAACCUUAGUAUCUGGCUUGGGCUUCUCAUGGCUCAGUGGCUGGACUGAAAGAAGGAACGUUUCCAGCUGAGAGUGAAAGCUGAAUAUCUCCUAAGGCCCAGCCUUGGAGAUUAUACAGCAACAUAGCUGCUGCAUUCUUUUGGCCUAAGCAAGUCACAGGAGUGGCUCAGAUUCAAGGGGGGGAGAAAUAGACUCCAUUGUUCGAUGAGAGGCAUGGCAAAGAAUGUUGUAGCCAUCUUUAUUUCACUGAGACUACCUACUAUGUUCUUAGCAUUCUGGUAAGCGCUUUAUCCACUAUAAAUUAUAUAAACCUCAGAACCACAGACCUUGUUAAAUACCAUUAUCCUCAGUUGGUCAAUUAGGAAAUUUGAUGAUUGGAGAUACUCAUCUGUAGAGUUAAUAAAUAGGUGAAAUAGGAUUUGGAUCCAAGUCUGUCUCCACAGCCCCAGUAAGCGAUAGAGUAUAGAGAUGACAACUGCUUAUACAUUUAUUAAGAAUGUUGUAUGGUUCUAUUAGUAGAUCCCAAACUGUUGAGUCCUCUUCCCCAGUCCUUUUAAGAUUAUUGUUUUGUUUUGUUUUUUAAAGUUAUAAAGGCUACAUUGGCUAAAUUGUCCAAAAAUUUCCAAAAUAACAAUUUUCUAUACUAGUUCACUUUGCUUCUCCUGGUUCUUCCCAGUAAAUGUGUGUGCAGAGUUCUUGCCACUCAGAAAAUUACAAAGAAAGAUUAGGGAAAAUUACAUGCCUCUACAUUUUUCAGUCAUGGCCAGUUCUGGCCUGAUCAAAUAUACUUAAUGAUAGAGCCCUAUAGAAAUGUGCCUAGCUGAAUUGAAAGUAACUAUUAUUAUGAUUAAUUUAAAUCCAAAUGAAUUGUCCUAUAAAAUAUGCAUAGACAUCUAAAAUUUGAAGCCCAUAAAAAUGAUUCCCUUAAAUCAUUUUCUUUGAGUAUUUUGUCCAUUUCUGAUUCUGUUUUUAAGACUAGAAAAACUGUGUGAAGAAAAGGAGCCUUCAGUCAAAAGUAGUUUUGUUCAUAGAAACAGCUGGCUGACUGGGUAUCUUUUCUGCAUCAGUUUACAUUUCCACCAUAUAGAUCAAUUAUGUGACUGUCACUUAUGAAAGAGAGUUACAGAAAAGUUGGAACCGUUUGAAGCUUUGAAACUCAUUUGCAAGGAAAGAUUAAAAGACUAGUGUGAUUUAGUUUCACCUUGAGAAGAAAAGAUUGGGGGGGGGGGAAGUACUUCCACUGAGAGGAAGAAUAUCUACAUUCUGUUGCAAGACAGACAUAUUUGAAUGUGUUGAAAUGAUAGUGGGAUGGUUAGACUCCUAUACAGGUAAACUUUACCAGGAGCAAUAGUGUGAAGUGCUGGACUAGACUUUGAAAUAAGGAGGUACUCUUACCACUAGCUCUUUUACAAACAAUGAAGAUUCUCAUAUUAUUUGUGAUGUUGAGGGAACGGAUUCUGCAUGAAGGCAUGGAAUUGGAGGCAUUUGUCUGCAAAAGUUCUGGUGGCUUAUGAUUUUAUGAAAUGUUUUUGAGUAUGUAUCUUUGGGUGACUGCUUGGGAAUAUGAAAGCCAGCAAAAUUAGCUAGAUUCCUCAAGGCCAUUGGCUGAAUCUGUGAUAAUAAAACAGAGGGUACUAGAAGAUGACCUCUUCCUUCUUUCUUUAGGAGAUUCUACCCUUUGUAGAAGGAUAAAAGGAAAAAGGAAAUGAAGAAAGAAUAGAAAGUCAGGAUGAUCUAACUGCAUUCAGUAAUCCAUCCAAGCUCUUUAGAAAUGUAGCAGUAUAAUUUUCCUGUUUUUGGUCAAGAAUAGUUCAGUGCAGAUAUUCAGCAAAUAUCAGGCUUUGGAGUCCUCUCCUGAGUCUUCUGUUUCAUGCAGGGAGAAUGGAGGAGGACAUACAGAAUUGUGGAGCAGAUCUAUAUGAGUCCUGACUUCUGCCAAACAUUCAUUAGUCUGAAUUCAGUCAUAUGACUAUAUCUUAUCACAAGAGAGACUAGUACAUGUAAACUGAACUGUGUGCCCAGGAUGUGUGUGUGUGUGUGUACACGUGCAUGUGUGCACACUCAUGCACAAGUGGGAGAAAAAGUGACAAAGCAAAGAACAGAUUUAAACAGACUUUCUUUCAAGGUACUUGUUAAGCAUGAGCUUUGGCACUGCCAGUGUAAUACUAGAAUGGAUUAGUACUUCAAGCACAAGACCAUUUUUUAAUUCUUUAAAAAUAUACUCUAGGAGUUCCCAUCGUGGCGCAGCGGUUAACGAAUAUGACUAGGAACCAUGAGGUUGCGGGUUGGGUCCCUGCCCUUGCUCAGUGGGUUAACGAUCCGGCCUUGCCUUGAGCUGUGGUGAAGCUUGCAGACGCAGCUCAGAUCCAGCGUUGCUGUGGCUCUGGUGUAGGCUGGAAGCUAUAGCUCAGAUUAGACCCCCUAGCCUGGGAACCUCCAUAUGCCGCAGGAGCGGCCCAAGAAAUAGCAAAAAG